CGGACGGCUGAGUAACGCGUGGGAACAUGCCCCAAAGUGAGGGAUAAGCACCGGAAACGGUGUCUAAUACCGCUUAUGGUCUUCGGAUUAAAGGAUUUAUCCGCUUUGGGAGUGGCCUGCGUACGAUUAGAUAGUUGGUGAGGUAAAGGCUCACCAAGUCGACGAUCGUUAACUGGUCUGAGAGGAUGAUCAGUCAGACUGGAACUGAGACACGGUCCAGACUCCUACGGGAGGCAGCAGUGAGGAACCUUCCACAAUGGGCGAAAGCCUGAUGGAGCAACGCCGCGUGAAGGAUGAAGGCCCUAGGGUCGUAAACUUCUUUUAUGAGUGAAGAAUAUGACGGUAACUCAUGAAUAAGCACCGGCUAACUACGUGCCAGCAGCCGCGGUCAUACGUAGGGUGCAAGCAUUAUCCGGAGUGACUGGGCGUAAAGAGUUGCGUAGGCGGUUAGUAAAGCGAAUAGUGAAACCUGGUGGCUCAACCAUUCAGACUAUUAUUCGAACUCACUAACUCGAGAAUGGUAGAGGUAAUUGGAAUUUCUUGUGUAGGAGUGAAAUCCGUAGAUAUAAGAAGGAACACCAAUGGCGUAGGCAGAUUACUGGACCAUUUCUGACGCUAAGGCACGAGAGCGUGGGGAGCGAACCGGAUUAGAUACCCGGGUAGUCCACGCCGUAAACGAUGGAUACUAGCUGUUGGAGGUAUCGACCCCUUCAGUAGCGAAGCUAACGCGUUAAGUAUCCCGCCUGUGGAGUACGGUCGCAAGACUAAAACAUAAAGGAAUUGACGGGGACCCGCACAAGCGGUGGAUCAUGUUCUUUAAUUCGAUGAUAAACGAAGAACCUUACCAGGGUUUGACAUCCCGAGAAUUAACCCGAAAGGGUUGAGUGCUUUAUUGAACUCGGUGACAGAUGUUGCAUGGCCGUCGUCAGCUCGUGUCGUGAGAUGUUUGGUUAAGUCCAUCAACGAGCGCAACCCUUGUGAAUAGUUGUAUUUUUCUAUUCAGACUGCCCCGGUAACGGGGAGGAAGGAGGGGAUGAUGUCAGGUCAGUAUUACUCUUACAUCCUGGGCUAGAAACGUGAUACAAUGGCAAGUACAAUGCGCAGCGAAGCCGCGAGGUGAAGCAAAUCGCAUCAAAGCUUGUCCCAGUUCGGAUAAGAGGCUGAAACU
rnacentral:rRNA from 1 species